AACGGAAAGGCCCUGCUUUUGUGGGGUGCUCGAGUGGCGAACGGGUGAGUAACACGUGAGUAACCUGCCCUUGACUUUGGGAUAACUUCAGGAAACUGGGGCUAAUACCGGAUAGGAGCUCCUGCUGCAUGGUGGGGGUUGGAAAGUUUCGGCGGUUGGGGAUGGACUCGCGGCUUAUCAGCUUGUUGGUGGGGUAGUGGCUUACCAAGGCUUUGACGGGUAGCCGGCCUGAGAGGGUGACCGGCCACAUUGGGACUGAGAUACGGCCCAGACUCCUACGGGAGGCAGCAGUGGGGAAUAUUGCACAAUGGGCGGAAGCCUGAUGCAGCAACGCCGCGUGCGGGAUGACGGCCUUCGGGUUGUAAACCGCUUUCGCCUGUGACGAAGCGUGAGUGACGGUAAUGGGUAAAGAAGCACCGGCUAACUAC
rnacentral:rRNA from 1 species